rnacentral:rRNA from 1 species
UAGGGAAUCUUCCGCAAUGGGCGAAAGCCUGACGGAGCAACGCCGCGUGAGUGAUGAAGGUCUUCGGAUCGUAAAACUCUGUUAUUAGGGAAGAACAAAUGUGUAAGUAACUAUGCACGUCUUGACGGUACCUAAUCAGAAAGCCACGGCUAACUACGUGCCAGCAGCCGCGGUAAUACGUAGGUGGCAAGCGUUAUCCGGAAUUAUUGGGCGUAAAGCGCGCGUAGGCGGUUUUUUAAGUCUGAUGUGAAAGCCCACGGCUCAACCGUGGAGGGUCAUUGGAAACUGGAAAACUUGAGUGCAGAAGAGGAAAGUGGAAUUCCAUGUGUAGCGGUGACAUGCGCAGAGAUAUGGAGGAACACCAGUGGCGAAGGCGACUUUCUGGUCUGUAACUGACGCUGAUGUGCGAAAGCGUGGGAAUCAAACAGG